GACAAACGCUGGCGGCAUGCCUAACACAUGCAAGUCGAACGGACAGAACAGGGAAGCUUUUCGGAGUGGAACUGGAAAGUUAGUGGCGGAUGGGUGAGUAACGCGUGGACAACCUACCUUGUAAAGGGGAAUAACCUCGAGAAAUCGAAGCUAAUACCCCAUAAUAACCUUGCUUCGCAUGAAGUAAGGAGGAAAGGCGGCCUUAGCGCUGUCGAUACAAGAUGGGUCCGCGUCUGAUUAGCUAGUUGGUGAGGUGAAGGCUCACCAAGGCGACGAUCAGUGGCCGGACUGAGAGAGUGAUCGGCCACAUUGGGACUGAGACACGGCCCAAACUCCUACGGGAGGCAGCAGUGGGGAAUCUUCCGCAAUGGGCGAAAGCCUGACGGAGCAAUGCCGCGUGAGUGAAGAAGGCCUUCGGGUUGUAAAACUCUGUCCUUAUCGAAGAGAGAGUGUUGUAGUAACUGACAAUACUAGGACGGUAGAUGAGGAGGAAGCCCCGGCUAACUAUGUG
rnacentral:rRNA from 1 species